AACUCCUUAGAAAAAAUAGAAGGAGAGGAGGAAAUAUGCAUCGGGUCUGGGAAGUUUGUAGAAGGAGUCCAAGGCCCUAGAUUUUUCUCCAGGAUGAGGUCACACUCCGUGUCAUCCCUCCUGUCGCUCUUACUACCGUCAUAUUCGCGUAUCUCGUCUCGUCGGGGAUCACUGAUGUCCAUGGAAACGUUGCCUCCACAUUAUGACGAUCUAUAGGACAUGUAACUAAAGGGUCGCUGGUUUGUGGGAGUUUUUGGGUAUCGAAGGCCUAAAAACACCAAUAUUUUUUAUGCAAUUUGAAGUUUUUAUUGAAUACAGGCUUCUAACAAAUGCUUGUAUGUAUGUAUAUGACUACUAUUAAUUUGAAUUUAAGGUUCUUUAAUAAAUCGUCUGUGUAUGUA